CUGCCAGUCCCGCGCCAUGCGCAUGCACUCCUCAGCCCUUAGGCGGAUGGGACCGGUUGCUGCGGCACAGGGGCGGUGCCCUUCAGGGAGGCGCGCAGGAGCCCAUCUUGGGGGAGCUGGAGCAUGGCGGGCUGCAGGUCCCAGCCCUACCCCAUGGGGAGGCGGCUGAGGCCCAGCGAGAAUUCGAGCACUGCGCACGAGGGACGGCAGUGCUGGGGGACCGGGCGCCCCCUCCGCAGCUGCUGGCCUGGGUGCUAAGCCCCUCACUGCCCGGGGCUGGCGGCGACGGAGGGCGGCUCCGAGUGAGUGCGGGGCGCGGAGCCCCACGCCCACCCGGAACUCACGCUGGCCCGCGAACGCUGCGCGCAGCCCCAGUUCCCGCCUGCGUCUCUGCCUCCACACCUCCACGUAAGCAGAGGGGGCCAGCUCCAACCUUGGCCAGCCCAGAGAGGGGCGUCCCACAGUGCAGCGGCGGGCUGAAGGGCUCCUCAAGCCUGACCAGAGCGGACGCCGAGGCCGAGGAGGCGCUGAGAAGGAGCGAGGGCCGCCAGCACGUUGUCACCUCUCAAGAGUAUAGGGAGAGUAUCUCUGGAAUGAAGGCUUUUUAACCUGUUGCAGGGAAGAAGGGCAAUGGAAGAGCUGAGAUCUCCCUAUGUUGCCCAAGCUGUUCUUGAACUCCUGAGAUGAAACAAUUCUCCUGCCUUGACUUCCCAAAGUGCUGGGAUUCCAGGUAUGAGUCACUGUGCCUGGCCUUCCCAUGGUUUUUCAAAGGCAAGGAAUGUCUUGAUAUGCUUUCUCUUUCAGAAUAUCUUUGACAUUGUUUUAUAUCUACAGAACUGAAAAGGCACAUUAAAGAUAUUUCCAGAAUAAAUAAGUCCGUCUUCAAUGUUAUUUCAAUGUGAUGUUUCUACUGCUACAACAAGGAAAAUUCAAAUUUUAAAUAAGUAGAUUGAGAAAUAGAAAAAUAGAAAAUUGAUGGAGAUAAAAUAUUAUUAAAGGAUUAGAUUGGAAAAACGUGGCAUUUCACUCUGGAGCAUUCAUUUUUACUUACUUGGAUUAAGACACCCAUUUCACAAGUGACUAAUACUCAGGGAUGGUCUAAGAAGAGGCAACAUUGCUUAGACACAGAGAGGAGAAAUGAAGCGAGAAGAGGAAAAGGCUAUGUGAAAGCAGAAGCGGAGGUUGGAGUUAUCCUACCACAAGCCAUGGAAUGCCUAGAGCUACCAGAAACAGAAGAAGAAAGUUCUUCCCUCAUCUUCAGAAGGAACACAGCAUUGCAGAAAGCUUGAUUUUAAACUUCUAGGCUCUAGAAUAGUAAGAGAAUAAAUUUCUGUUUUGUGAAGUCACCUAGUUUGUGGUAAUUUGUUAUAGAAGCCCUGGGAAAUGAGUACAGGAAGUAUGAUUUGGUUUGAAUUUCAGCUCAAUUUAUGUUGUUGAUUUCCAUUGUUUUCCAUUAUGUUGAAUGUGUUUGGCCUGUUUUCUUUGUUGUUGUCAUUUGGUAUUUGUUAAUAUGUCCAUUAGGGCAAAAAAUGAUGAUAAGCAUUUUGUAUAUAUAAUAUAUGGUUUCUCUUAUGUAGAUAUAACAUAUGCUUUCCCUUUUUUGGAGGCAUAAUUCUAUAUUGCUGUUGUUUUGUUGUUCAACUCUCCUAGAUCCUUAUUUUAGGGUUAGUUCCAUUGGUUUAGUUGGUUUUUGAGAGAAGUGUAUGAAAUCUUCCACUAUGAGUGUGGAUUUGCCAAUUUCUUCUUGUUUUAUUAUCAAUUUUUUUCUUAUUAGUUAUAAAGGAGAAGAAAUGAAGUAUUGAAAUAAAAAGUAUUACAGCAGAAAUCAAUGAAGUAACAAAUAAAAUUAAUACAGAAAAAUCAAUGAAACCAAAAGUUUAUUCUUGAAAAAACUAUAAAAUCAACUAGCCUCUAGCUAGACUAAGAAAAAAAGAGGGAGGAUACAAAUUAUUAAUAUCAGAAAUGAAGGAGGGAACAUUAUUACAGGUCUAAUAAAUGUUAUAAAUUAAUAAAGGAACAUUAUGAAAAAUACUAUGCUUGUAAAUUUAAUAACCUAGAUGAAAUGGCCAGAUUCUUUGAAAGACACAGUUUGGCAAAACUCAUACAAGAAUAGACAAUCUAAAUAGGCCUAUAUCUACAAAAGAAAACAAAUCAAUAAUAAAUAACCUUUAAGAACAGAAAGCACCAGAUUUAAAUGGGUUUACUGGUGAAGUCUACCAAUAUUUAAGCAAGAAAUUAUACCAAUACUCUACAAUCUCUUUCAGAAAAUAGAAGCAGAGGGAAUACUUCCUAACUCAUUCUAUGAGGCUAAUGUCACCCUCCUACCAAAACCAGACAAAGAUAUUACCAGAAAACUACAUACUAAUUUAUUUUAUUAACAUAAAACAUCCUCAACAAAGUAUUAUCAAAUCAAAUCCAACUAUAUAUUAAAAGAAUAACAUAUUAAGUAGGAUUUAUCUAUCCCAGGUAUGCAAGUUUGGCUUAACAUUUUAAAAAUCAAUUAAUAUAUUUAAUUUAUAUCAUAUCAGUAGGCUAAAGAAAAAUCACAUUAUCAUAUUAACACAUGAAGAAAAAAUAUUUGACAAAAUUCAAUACCCUUUAUGAUUAAAACUGUCAGGAAGCUAGGAAUAGAAGGGAACUUUUUCAAUUUAAUAAGGAAUAUCUACAAAAAUACCUAACAGCUAACAUCAUGCUUAAUGGUGAGAACCUACAAGAUUUCUCACUAAGAUCAGGUAUGAGAAAAAAAUGUUCCCACUCACCACUCCUUUUUAACAUUUUACUGAAAAUCCUAGCUUAUGCAAUAAGAAAAGGAAAUAAAAAUGUAUACUGAUUGAGAAACAAGAAAUAAGGCUUUGCUAGCAGAUAAUAUGAACAUCUCUGUAGAAAAUCUGAACUAAUUGACCCAAACGCAAAAACCUGAUGCUAAAAAACAAUUAUGACAAGGUUGCAAGAUACAAGGUUGGUGUAUAAAAGUCAAUUUCUUAUAUAGCAACAAUGAACAAGUGGAAUUUUAAAUUACAAACACGUUAUCAUUUACAUUUGGUGUAAAUAUAACAAAAUAUAUAUAUAUAAGAGCUUAAUGAAGAAAACUAGAAAUUUAUGAUGAAAGUGAUAAAAAAAAUUAGAUAAAUGGAGAGGUAUGCCAUGUUCAUCAGAAUUUGAAUAUUGCCAAGAUGUCAGUUCUUCUCAACUUGAUCUAUAGAUUCAAUGUAACUGCAAUCAAAAUCCUAGUAUUUUAUUUUGUGGAUAGCAAUAAACCUAUUUGAUAGCAAACGAAAGGCCCAGAAUAGCAAACUCAAUAAUGAUAAAGUCAGAGAGUAAAACUACCUGACCUUGUGCCUUACUAUAUUUACACAGUAUAGUGUUGGCAAAAGACCAUACAAAUAAAGCAAUGGAACGAAAGAGAGAGACCAGGAAUAAACCCACAUAAAUACAAUCAACUAAUAUUUGACAAAAGAGCAAAGGCAAUGCAGUGAAGAAAAGGUAUUCUUUUUAACAAAUGGCAUUGGAACAACAUGCUCCCCCCCCUAAAAAAAAAAGAAUCUAGGAACAGACCUUGCAUUCUUCACUAAAACUAACUCAAAAUGGAUCACAGACCUAAAUGUAAAAUACAAAAUUAGGCUGGGCAUGGUGGCUUAUGCCUGUAACCCCAGCAUUUUGGGAGGCUGAGGUGGGUGACUCACCUGAGGUCAGGAGCUCAAAACCAGCCUGGGCAAUAUGGUGAAACCUCAUCUCUACUAAAAAUACAAAAAUUAGCUGGGUGUGGUGGUACACACCUGUAAUCCCAGCUACUUGGGAGGCUGAGGCAGGAGAAUCACUUGAAACGGGGAGGCAGAGGAUGUAGUGAGUUGAGAUCACGCCAUUGCACUACAGCCUGGGUGACAGAACAAAACUCAGUCUCAAAAGUAUAAAAAUAAAUAAAAUAAAAUAUGAACUAUAAAACUUCUAGAAGAUAAUAUAGAAGAAAAUCUAGAUGAUCUUGGGUUUAGUGCUGAUAUUUUAGAUGCAACAUCAAAGGCACAAUCGAUAAGAAAAAAUCAUUAAAGUGUACUUCAUAAAAAUUAAGAAUUUCUGCUGUCAAAUAUAUUGUCAAUACAAUUAAA
rnacentral:lncRNA from 1 species